GUGCUGUGUAGAUAUAAACUGGGAGUUUGUAAACCGGGUCGUUUCGUAUGUGUUCAUACACAAAGUACAAUGGUAGAGUUAAAAUUUAUUUUUAAUACACUAGUGAUAUUUUGAGCAAUCCUGUACUAAAUUCGGAAAACCCCAUUGAUGUCCACUGUGAUCGAAAAUUCCGCUGCUACAAUAGAACCCGCAUAUAAAAAUGUAUUGUGCAAAUGAAUAUUUAACAUUUUUCAAGCGAAUAAACGCAAAUGAAAGUUGUGAUUUUUGGCGAUUUUUCUAAGGGUCCCUAGGGAACCACAGGGGACCUAGGCGGUCGGGGGUUGCAUUUUUGUCAAUGGCGGUUCAUUCCCUCUCCAAAAAGAUCGAAAAUGCAACAGGC